rnacentral:rRNA from 1 species
GGCGAGUGAAGCGGCAAAAGCUCAAAUUUGAAAUCUGGCGCCUUCGGUGUCCGAGUUGUAAUUUGAAGAUUGUAACCUUGGGGUUGGCUCUUGUCUAUGUUUCUUGGAACAGGACGUCACAGAGGGUGAGAAUCCCGUGCGAUGAGAUGCCCAAUUCUAUGUAAGGUGCUUUCGAAGAGUCGAGUUGUUUGGGAAUGCAGCUCUAAGUGGGUGGUAAAUUCCAUCUAAAGCUAAAUAUUGGCGAGAGACCGAUAGCGAACAAGUACAGUGAUGGAAAGAUGAAAAGAACUUUGAAAAGAGAGUGAAAAAGUACGUGAAAUUGUUGAAAGGGAAGGGUUUGAGAUCAGACUCGAUAUUUUGUGAGCCUUGCCUUCGUGGCGGGGUGACCCGCAGCUUAUCGGGCCAGCAUCGGUUUGGGCGGUAGGAUAAUGGCGUAGGAAUGUGACUUUACUUCGGUGAAGUGUUAUAGCCUGCGUUGAUGCUGCCUGCCUAGACCGAGGACUGCGAUUUUAUCAAGGAUGCUGGCAUAAUGAUCCCAAACCGCCCGUCUUG